AUUGACGGGGGCCCGCACAAGCGGCGGAGCAUGCGGAUUAAUUCGAUGCAACGCGAAGAACCUUACCAAGGCUUGACAUGAACCGGUAACGCCUGGAAACAGGUGCCCCGCUUGCGGUCGGUUUACAGGUGGUGCAUGGUUGUCGUCAGCUCGUGUCGUGAGAUGUUGGGUUAAGUCCCGCAACGAGCGCAACCCUCGUUCUAUGUGCCAGCGCGU
rnacentral:rRNA from 1 species